ensembl:lncRNA
GUCUCCCCUCCGUCCUCCUCCUCUCUCUCUCUCUGACUCUACAUGUCUCUGUCGCUAAGGCAACCAAUGCCUUUUCCUACUGGCUCUCUAUAUCUCCCCCUUUCUCACUGUCUCGCUCAUUCCCUCUCUCUUCAGCCAGAGGUAGGCAUGUUAACUGGUAUCUGUCUGAGUGAAUGUGGUGUGCGUGCUGGUGUGACAUGUGAGUUGUCUGCUGGUGGGUGUGUGUGUGUGAGAGAGAGCGAGCGAGCGAUAGAGCGUGUGUUCCUGUCUGUGUUUGACUGAGUGACAGUGGUAGUAGAUAUGAAGUAAAUCUUUCUCGAGCUAAUAGUAGCAGCAUAUGGGAUGUUGGCUACGUGUGUGCCUAUGAGGAAUGUUUUGUGCACAGAGAGAGAGGUGAUCGGAGGAUUGGGGGCUCAGUGAACAGAACAAAGCGAUGGAGAGAUGCUCCAUCUCUCCUGUCAAACGACUGAUCACCCUCCGCUGCCUUUUCUUCCUCCUGGUUGCCGUGGUGACGCGACCCUCAACCUGUAACCGUGACGAUGAGGGCGAGGGGCAGGUGGAGGCCCUCUCGGCCCAGCUGUCCGUCCCAGAACAGGUCACACCCACCCCUAUUUGGUCCGUGGACUGGGGCCCCACACUAUCCCUGGAGGACGAGACGCAUCACAUCCUGUCCAGCCAGGAAGCGGAUCUGCACCACCACGGCCAUGAAGUCCCCACGACAACCGCCGAGGCCUGGCCGCAUCAUCAGAGUGCACCGGGCAGUGCUUUGCCCCAGGAGCCCCUGGACCUUCUGGAGGCCCCAGAUGCAGAGGGAGUGGAGGAUGGAGGAAGUGAGCCGGAGGAGAGAGAGCCUGAGGAAGUGGACCCUCAGUUCUACGUCACAGUGACCAUCUCCUCUCUGCUCAUCCUGACUGCUGUCAUCAUAACGGUCAAACUCUGUUAUGACCGCAGCUGUUCCCAGCACCCACCCCCGCUUUCCCGUGGCGUGGCCCCCCCUCUCUCUCUCGCCCUCCCUCGUUCCCUGGCUCUGGAGGACAGCCGGCAGACACUGCACGGCACUCCCUCCUUUACCGACAGGGAGAGGAUUCCCGUGGUGAACCUCUAAGGCGAACGUUUCUGAUUUGAUACACAUUCCUACGGGAUGCGAUGGGAUGCGACGGAGAACACUGCCAGAGGGUGUGGCCCGCCGUGGUCUUCGACUUAUCUUUGACUGUGAAAAUGAAAAUCAGGGACCCAGGUAUCCAGCCAUGGCAAAACCUCUUUUUCCCUCCAUCCCUUCCUCCCGAAGGAGAAAAGCCCGAUCUCAUCCCUUCCUCCCGAGGGAGAAAAGCCCGAUCUCAUCCCUUCCUCCCGAGGGAGAAAAGCCCGAUCUCAUCCCUUCCUCCCGAGGGAGAAAAGCCCGAUCUCAUCCCUUCCUUCCUUCCUGCUGCCAUCCUCCUACGCCUCUUUUCUCCACUUUUCUAUGGAUCUGUGUCACUGUAGACUGACCAAACCUUCUGCUCUGUUUUAUAUUCCAGUUGUCUGUACUGCCCCAGGCUGUAGCAGCAACAUACGUACAGGUCCCUCCGCUUGAUCCGCUUUGACUAAUUCACAAGCAAACAGUGUUAGAUAUCAAUAGAACAUUUUAGUCCCGCCGGUGCCAAAACCGCAUAGCUAUAUGGGGCUGUUUGGAAUAUUUCAUACAGCUAUCUUGUGUAGCUGAACAUUAAACUAUGAUGAAAUAGUGGACUUGGUUAUUGAAACUUAGUUGAAAGUGCAAUAUGUGUGUUAUCUGAAACAUAGGUGUUCAGCUAGCUGGUGAAUGGUUAAAACAAUCCCUGUUUCCUAGGACUGAAGGGGGUAUUUCACAAAGCUGGUAUGGCAAUGUUGUCGCCAGCCGCCAAUGUACUUAACGCGACAUGGUCCAAAAAUCGCUGUUUACUCCCGCUUUGGAAUGCAAAUAGGCCCACUGCAGAUUCCACAUUCCCAAUGUGUUUUCUGGGUGUUUUUUACUCCGUAAACUAUAUUCUUUGUUUGUUCCUUUUAUUUUCUUGCCUCUUUGCCGCCUCUGUUGUGCAUUUGUGAGUGUGUUAUCUUGUCUCUGGAGCAUGGGGAUGGGCAGGGUUUAUAUAUUACUACUCUAUAUAGGGUUGGGAAAUUCUUUCUUUUUCACAAAAUUCCCAGGUUUUCCAGACAUCCCGGUUGGAAGAUUCCUGGAAUUAGGAGGGAAGGAAAUACAGGAAUUUUCCAACUGGGAUUUCUGGAAAACCAUGGAAUUUGGGGGGGGGAAACGUUAUCCUUGUUGUGUAUGAAAAUAGUGGUGCAAACAAUGUACAAUACAUGUUUGCAUAUAUCGCAAUCAGUACAAUCAAACGAUACAUGUGGUACAAUCAAUGUGGUGUCAGGUAAACAUAAUGGGUAUAAAUGAUACAGUCCAGAAGUAAUGAGCCAUUUUACCAUCAUCUGUUGUUUCUGCUCCGACUUCAAAGCUUAAACGAGUGUUUACUGUCGGAUCUUAGGGUAAUGUACCUGUCCAACUCGACCACCAGCUUUGAGAAAUGACCCUCUGGACUUCCACUACACUAGUACACAUAGUGUUGUAACGUCAUAGGUGACUUGUGUCGUUCUGCAUUCUAGUGUUUCCUCGGUUCUCAGUAGCAUUCCUGUAGACGUGUGGCUCCACUGUACGAUGGAACAACAAUAAAAACUCAACACUGGUGUUUUAGCCCUUUAUCCGGACUGGACUUUACUAGCCAGUGGCUUUGGGACUAGAAUUGACAAUGUGCGAGGGCCAGCCUUACAGGAGGACAGUGGAUGUAUCUCAACUGUCCUGAGUUGCCUCCUUUCCUUCAUCUGUCCUAGGUUGAAGACACCCAGGUUACGACAACCUAAUAAUUCCAUGAGGAAGCUUUUGAAAAAUCAACAGAUUCAUGGGACCAGUGCUGUUGCUAACUAGCAUCCCUGAUCCCUUCGUUUACAAUUCUUCCUCAUCUAUGCAACGACAUAUGGAAUAUUAUAAAUAUUUUGUCUUAACCUUUAUCUCCAACCUAGCAUCUGUACUAAACUUUAGGAUGAGAAGGAGAAAAAGAGACCAGGAAAUACAUGAGAGCUUAUUGUGUUAUUCAAAUCCAUUAACUUGAGUUCUAUUUGGCUUCUGCUGCAGAUCAGAGCCAUAUAUUUAGAUAUCAGAGCCAUUGUAUUGAAAUAUAA